rnacentral:rRNA from 1 species
GAUGAACGCUGGCGGCGUGCCUAAUACAUGCAAGUCGAGCGAACAGAUGAGGAGCUUGCUCCUCUGACGUUAGCGGCGGACGGGUGAGUAACACGUGGAUAACCUACCUAUAAGACUGGGAUAACUUCGGGAAACCGGAGCUAAUACCGGAUAAUAUAUUGAACCGCAUGGUUCAAUAGUGAAAGACGGUUUUGCUGUCACUUAUAGAUGGAUCCGCGCCGCAUUAGCUAGUUGGUAAGGUAACGGCUUACCAAGGCAACGAUGCGUAGCCGACCUGAGAGGGGGACGGGCAACAUUGGAACUGAGACACGCCCCAGCCCCCUAGGGGAGGAAGAAGGGGGGAUUCUUCCGCAAGGGGGGAAGGCCGGACGGAGCACGCCGGCGGGAUGGAGAAAGGUCUUGGGAUCGAAAAACUCUUUUAUGGGGAAAAAAAAAAUGGGUAAGUACCUAUGCACGUCUUGACGGUACCUAAUAAAAAAGCCACGGCUAACUCCGUC